rnacentral:RNase_P_RNA from 1 species
CGAGUAGGAUAAAUGAUCGCGGCCGCGGGAGACAUGGGUCUUCUGCGGGUGAGGAAAGUCCGGGCUUCAUAGGGCGGGAUGCCGGAUAACGUCCGGUGGAGGCGACUCCAAGGCCAGUGCAACAGAAAUAUACAGCCGCGGGCUUUUGCGCGCGGUAAUGGUGGAAGGGCAGUGUAAGAGACUACCGUCCGUCCGGUAACGGGCGGAGCACAUGUAAACCCCAUCCGAAGCAAGACCAAAUUGAGAGCAAUAGGCCUGCCCGGUCUGCUUUCAGGUAGGUCGCUGGACGCGGCUGGCAACAGCCGUGCUAGAUAGAUGAUCAUUCAAGACAGAACCCGGCUUAUCGUCCUGCUCGCCCA